rnacentral:rRNA from 1 species
CCUACGGGUGGCAGCAGUGAGGAAUAUUGGUCAAUGGACGCAAGUCUGAACCAGCCAUGCCGCGUGCAGGAAGACGGCUCUAUGAGUUGUAAACUGCUUUUGUACGAGGGUAAACGCAGAUACGCGUAUCUGUCUGCAAGUAUCGUACGAAUAAGGAUCGGCUAACUCCGUGCCAGCAGCCGCGGUAAUACGGAGGAUUCAAGCGUUAUCCGGAUUUAUUGGGUUGAAAGGGUGCGUAGGCGGUCGGAUAAGUUAGAGGUGAAAUCCCGAGGCUCAACUUCGGAAUUGCCUCUGAUACUGUUCGGCUAGAGAGUAGUUGCGGUAGGCGGAAUGUAUGGUGUAGCGGUGAAAUGCUUAGAGAUCAUACAGAACACCGAUUGCGAAGGCAGCUUACCAAGCUACUUCUGACGUUGAGGCACGAAAGCGUGGGGAGCAAACAGGAUUAGAUACCCCUGUAGUC